AAGUAAAGAUAGAAUAUGAAGAUCCUAUUUAUCAUUGUUUGUCCUCCUUUUCCUCUAUUUGAAUCCUAUUUCUCCUUCUUAACGACGGCGGCGGCCCAAUGUCAUGGUGUUUUGGAUCAAAUUGUGGGUGUUAUGAGAAUGCGGUGGUGUUGUUGGAUUGCUACAAUGGUGGUCCGAUGAGGUUGAUUGUCAUGGAGUGGCAGGGGCAAUGGACUGGGCAGAGUUUGCAAAUCUUGGAGUACUGUGUGAAGUGGAGAACCUACACUCCUCCCCAUUGAAGUACCACUCAAAAUCUUGAUAUCCUUUGCACUCGGGUAUGGAGAUUCUAGCUGGCAUUGGACAUGGAAGAGGUGACGAGAUAGCCUGGUAAGGAAGUUCUUCACCGCAUUCCGAUGAGGCAACGUUGAUUCUACGAGACCUUGAUCUUGGCUUGUAGGUGUCAAUUUCAACUAUCUUAGGGCUUUCAUCAAAUGCAGUCAUGUCACAAGAUGUAGAUAGCCUCUUGCUGUGAAAUUCACUUCUAGUAUCAUCAAACCUCUCCUGGAACCCAAGAAAAAAAAUGUCGGUUUUUUUUUGUCAAAAUAAGAAGAGGGACAGCA